GAUGAACGCUGGCGGCGUGCCUAAUACAUGCAAGUCGAGCGAACGGACGCGAAGCUUGCUUCUCUGAUGUUAGCGGCGGACGGGUGAGUAACACGUGGAUAACCUACCUAUAAGACUGGGAUAACUUCGGGAAACCGUAGCUAAUACCGGAUAAUAUUUUGAACCGCAUGGUUCAAAAGUGAAAGACGGUCUUGCUGUCACUUAUAGAUGGAUCCGCGCUGCAUUAGCUAGUUGGUAAGUUAACGGCUUACCACGGCAACGAGGCAUAGCCGAACGGAGAGGGUGAUAGGCCACACGGGAACUUAGACACGGACCAGACGCCUGCGGGAGGCAGCAGUAGGGAAUCUGCCGCAAUGGGCGAAAGCCUGACGGAGCAACGCCGCGUCAGUGAUGAAGGUCUUCGGAUCGUAAAACUCUGUUAUUAGGGAAGAACAUAUGUGUAAGUAAAUGUGCACAGCUUGACGGUACCUAAUCAGAAAGCCACGGCUAACUACGUG
rnacentral:rRNA from 1 species